UUCCCCUUACCAUAAAUGCAAAUGCCAUACCUAAUGAUAAACGUCACCUCAGGCUCAAUUCUACGUUUCAGGUAACGCAGAGACCGGCCUGCCGUAAAAAAAUCAGAAACGAAGAAAAAAAGUGAUUCCAACGGUAUAAAGAAGAAAAAAACGAGAACGACAUUCACGGCAUAUCAAUUGGAAGAACUAGAGAGGGCUUUCGAGCGUGCACCAUACCCGGAUGUAUUCGCUCGUGAGGAAUUGGCUUUGAAGCUCAAUCUAAGCGAAUCGCGAGUCCAAGUUUGGUUUCAAAAUAGGAGAGCCAAGUGGCGCAAAAGGGAGCCUCCCAGAAAAACGGUUUACCUCUCUAACUCUGGUUCGCCAAGCUCAAGCAUCAGCUCAACGACUUACACGGGGGGGAUGUCCCCGUUCAACACGGGAGGGCACAACACGAGCCUCAUGAACCCGGCGCCGGCGGCCCCUCGGACGCGUGGUCCAACCCCCCCUACAACCCCUCCUACGACCUGAACCACCUAAACCUCCUCAACCCCAACCCCCCUCCGGCCCCCUACUCGCCGCCCCUCUACUCCACGGCGCCCACCUCCGCCUCGGGCACGAACCCCUACUCCUACCCCCUCCUCGCCAACGACCACCUCUUCCUCGGCCGGCACCAGGAGUACCUCACCGGCGAGGAGUCGCCCCCUACACGCACCAGCUCAUAAUGAACCAGGGUCGCUAUCUACCCGAGGACCCCCAGGUGGAGCACGGAGGGUUCGAGCAAGAGAUGGACCCUUCGGACCAACUGGGCGGGAUGGAACCGGGGCAGAUGACGUUCGAGCUGGAGCAAAAGGGCAACAUGGUGGAAUACGUGGACGACGUCAACGGAGACGACAAGCUGAGCACGACCAACAUCGGCGGCUACAACGUCAACAUGAGCGGGCAGCCCGGCAACAUGCAGAUCAAGGACGAGUGUUGCAUCAAGAUCGAACAGGAUCAUUAUCACCAAACGCUCCCUCCCUUCUUGAACUGAAUCCACGCUCUUGGAACUCAUCAGAGAAAUCUCUCCGCUUGACGGAUACCUUAGGCCUUGUCUCCACGGGCCGUUUCACGGGAUUUGUCCCGGGGAAAAUCCCACUUACGAAGUUAAUCAAUAUUUUUCCUGGUACCAAGUAUGGUCGUUUACCCCUAGGACCCACUGAGAGAGGAAGAAGAAGUGAAAUUGAAUUGUGCGAUAUUUUAUUCAUUACUCCAUUGUUAAUGUUUGUUUAGUUAAAGUUAUGUGUCUAAUUGUCGAUUGAGUGAAAUUAUUAUUUUAAUCCCGGUUAAACACUCGACUUCAACUAAUUUAUCUUCCCGCGCAAACUAGUCGUAGGACCGUAUGAGCCUCGUCCCGUGGAGACGGUAACUGGGAAAAAUCCCAGAAGUUUCAUUCCUGCGAUUCGAACUUGGGACAAAUCCCAUGAAAACGUCCCGCGGAGACAGGGCCUUAGGCAAAUUUUCCUUCCUCAACUCUUGACGAAAUCCGUAAACUGUUUACGAACUACGACAUCAAAACAAAUUUUCCUUCUCCGUUUGUGAUUAAAUGGGCAUGACCUAGCCUUCCCCCAAAUCGCCCGUAGUUAAAUGUAAUUUAAUUUUUGUCAACGGUUUAUGGUUCGUAAAAGUGCUCCGGACCACGUUAUCGAACCUAUAGAUCGUAUUCGAUACAUCAAACGGGUGAGAUUGUAUCGAUAUCGAUUGGUUCAAAACAUAGUCAUGACCCCAAAAGUCAAUUGAGUAAUCUGACGGAACGGGUUUUUUGUGGUAAUUUCCUGAUUCGGAUGAGUAUACUUAUCAGCCAAGAGUAGAGAAAUUGCCCUGUACUUUCUCAUUAUCAGCUUUUCUGACAAAUAUCUUAAAAUUUUGGUUUGAGGUUAUGUUGUUUUGAACCAAACGAUACAUCGAACCACUAUCGAAUACGAUUCAUUGACGAUUCUCGAUGAAACAGUGAAACCAAUCAAGAGUCCGGGCCACCAGGCUCUGAUUGGUUGACAAAAAUCCCAACUUCGUUAACGCGUAGGACAACUGUUCGUGGAUUUCGUCAUCAGUUGACGAACGAAAAUUUGCUUCCUGUCGUCAUGGGCCAAUCAGUUCGACUACGUGGGUUAACUUCCAUCGAACUUAUUUCACCGAUUCGGAUUGACUCCUGAGUUAAAUCGACAAAAUCCCAUUUUUCCGCCUAACUUCGUAAAGUCAAUGCAUUUUUAUACUGCUUGCGAAGCCCAUGCUACUUAAAGAGAACUCCUCAAGACCGAAAUUUCUACUCUGACGUUCUACGACUCAAAGUUUCAAAAAAGCGGACCCCUGGACAAGUUAUGAAUUAAAAGCACUACGAAACAAAAGUCCUCUUCACAAUUUCACGAGGAAAACUAGUCAUACAAUAGGAAUUCGGGAAACCUACUUCUAGACAAGACAUCAGUGUUUGAAGUUGAUAGUGGUGAAAUAACAUGGAUACAAAUGACGUGUCAUUUAUAUAAUCCAACUUCAAAUUGAUCUGUAUUCAAAAUAGUUGUAAAUGCCUUGUUCAGGACCUAAUCUCCGAACUUCUCAUUCAACAAUCGUCUUUACGCAACAUUUUAAAAAGAAAAUAUGUGACUUUCUCUUCAGUUUUGACUUUUUCUAGAGGUCUACUCACUAAUUAAACGCUACGAAAUUAACAGGGUCAUUUCCAGGGUAUCAGUUAAUGGAGUCGCAUUUAUGCACGAUUUUCUCUUCUGAAUUUAGUCCUUUUACGGUAAUUGUUUUAUUACCUAUCACAUAGAGUCGCUAUUGAUCUCCAGUUGAUGGAGAUUUUCGAUGCUCACAAACCGAUUACCUAUUUAUGUCCUUUUUUACGUUUUAUAUUCAAUCGGUGUAUGUUCCCGAUGCUCAUUCUAGACUUAUACUCUAAUUCUACGUAAGACAAAGAGUAGAUCAGAAAAAAAAUCGAUUUGAUAUUCAAACCAUAUUAUUAAAAGAAAAAACGUAGGAAAAUAUUGAUGAAGGAGAUAACUAUAGACUUACCUCCUUAGUUACGGGGGGCGGUUGCUUUUCGACUUAUUGCUAGCUUUAUUUUACCAGCUGGAUUUUGGAUCCAUUGUUGAUGGUUUCAGAUUCAUUUGGAAGUUCUAAGUCUUAAUCUAAACCGGUGCAUAAAGCACCAAAUUUUCGUAGAGGAAACAGCGGAUUUUCUUCGAUUCGUCAUGGUUUAGAUUUUUGUCAUAUUUAAUCAUAGUUAAAUUACAUGUAAAAAUGCUGCUUUGUACAUAGAUAAUAUGUUACUGUAAGUUAAUUGAUGUGAAUAGUUCGGAGUAAGCACUUAAAACGAGUCAGAGUUGUAUUUAUGCUAAUUUUUAUUUGCAAAGAAGUAAAAUUGGCCUGCGAACUACAGUUUCAGGUGUUACCGCGAGAAACACCACUUACGGCCUUUCGAAAAAAACUGAACUUUCAGUUAGUGUAUUUCUAAAAAAAAAAAAAAAAAAAAAAAAAAAAAAACCUAAUAAAUAAAGGGUUGGCAGUCCACUGUGGGCAUUUCGGAACCUAACUCGAGGUUCAAGAACAUUUUGUGGCUGGAUGACUCAUUAUGUAUUGAUUUUAUGUUUCUCAGUUUUUUACCUUUCUUAUUCUUUCUAAGUUUUUUUUUUUGUUACCCUCUUGUUUUAAAGUAUGGAAACAAAACUGUGCAUUCUUACGUGCCUUAAUACUUUUAAACGUAUUCAUUGACGGUAACGUUCAUGUUACAUUUAUUUUUACUUUCCUCAUCUUAUGCAGUCUUUUACUGCUUCCCCUCUUAUUUACCCGACAACGUUUGAACGUUGUGUGUCGUCCUCAAGGCGGAACUGGCCUAUUAGCCGGAUCGGAAGUCACUUUACGUGGUUGGUUAAAUUUCA
rnacentral:lncRNA from 1 species